rnacentral:rRNA from 1 species
GACGAACGCUGGCGGCGUGCUUAACACAUGCAAGUCGUACGGUAAGGCCCUUUCGGGGGUACACGAGUGGCGAACGGGUGAGUAACACGUGAGUAACCUGCCCACAACUUUGGGAUAACGCUAGGAAACUGGUGCUAAUACUGGAUAUGUGCUCCUGCUGCAUGGUGGGGGUUGGAAAGCUCCGGCGGUUGCGGAUGGACUCGCGGCCUAUCAGCUUGUUGGUGGGGUAGUGGCCUACCAAGGCGGCGACGGGUAGCCGGCCUGAGAGGGUGACCGGCCACAUUGGGACUGAGAUACGGCCCAGACUCCUACGGGAGGCAGCAGUGGGGAAUAUUGCACAAUGGGCGCAAGCCUGAUGCAGCAACGCCGCGUGCGGGAUGACGGCCUUCGGGUUGUAAACCGCUUUCAGCAGGGACGAAGCUUUUUGUGACGGUACCUGCAGAAGAAGCACCGGCUAACUACGUG